rnacentral:rRNA from 1 species
UACAGAGGUCCCGAGCGUUGUUCGGAUUCACUGGGCGUAAAGGGCGCGUAGGCGGGAUGGCAAGUCGGUCGUGAAAUCUCUCGGCUCAACCGAGAAACGUCGGCCGAUACUGCCGUUCUUGAGGGAUGCAGAGGAGACUGGAAUUCCCGGUGUAGCGGUGAAAUGUGUAGAGAUCGGGAGGAACACCGGUGGCGAAGGCGGGUCUCUGGGCAUUUCCUGACGCUGAGGCGCGAAAGCGUGGGGAGCAAACGGG